GAACUAUAGAGUUUGAUCCUGGCUCAGAUUGAACGCUGGCGGCAUGCCUUACACAUGCAAGUCGAACGGCAGCACGGGAGCAAUCCUGGUGGCGAGUGGCGAACGGGUGAGUAAUAUAUCGGAACGUGCC
rnacentral:rRNA from 1 species